UACAGAGGGUGCAAGCGUUAAUCGGAGUUACUGGGCGUAAAGGGCGCGUAGGCUGAUAUUUAAGUCGAUUGUGAAAUCCCUGGGCUUAACCUAGGAAUUGCAUUCGAUACUAAAUGUCUAGAGUAUGGCAGAGGAAAGUGGAAUUCUCGGUGUAGUGGUAAAAUACGUAGAUAUCGAGAAGAACACCGGUGGCGAAGGCGACUUUCUGGACCAAUACUGACGCUGAGGCGCGAAAGCGUGGGGAG
rnacentral:rRNA from 1 species